AGUGAACGCUGGCGGUAGGCCUAACACAUGCAAGUCGAACGAGUGGCGGACGGGUGAGGUCUACAUCGGCAUCUUCUCUGUCGUCGGCGAUCACGUAGGGAAACUUACGCUACUACCGCAUACGUUCGGAUGAGCCAAUGUCGGAUUAGCUAGUUGGCGGGGUAAAGGCCCACCAAGGCGCCGAUCCGUAGCUGGUCUGAGAGGAUGAUCAGCCACACUGGAACUGAGACACGGUCAAGACUCCUACGGGAGGCAGCAGUGGGGAAUAUUGGACAAUGGGCGCAAGCCUGAUCCAGCCAUACCGCGUGGGUGAAGAAGGCCUUCGGGUUGUAAAGCCCUUUUUUUGGGAAAGCGGUACCCAAAGAAUAAGCACCGGCUAACUUCGUGCCAGCAGCCGCGGUAAUAC
rnacentral:rRNA from 1 species